GUUCGCCCGCCAUACAUCCUCAAAUCAAUAACCAACAUUUUUGUCACAAAAAUCCGGUUAAUAAUGAGUAGUUAACAGGGGUAUUACCUCCCCUUAAUUUCAACCUGCUAUGAAAUUUGCUAGGACUCAAUACCACAACAACCAAAACACAUCACCAGUUAUGAUAGGCUUUUGUAUGAUACAUUUAGUUAAUAGUUACGAACAUGUGGGCGAUAUGAAAUCAAUUAAUUUUGUCAAUUGUCUUUCUAAAUGUUUCAAAACUAGACAAAACAAAUGCACAGAAACAUUGAUUGAUUGUUGAUGUUUUUACACCACUUUUGGGAUAUUUCGUGGUGACCAGUUUUUAUUGGUGGAGGCAGCCGGAGUGCCAGGAGAAAACUACUGACCUUUGAUAAUGAAACUGGCAACCGUCAAAAAAGUCAAUUAAGAUUGGAGUCUAUUUACCUUGCACCCACAUGAGCAGGUUCAAACUCACAACAUCAGUGUUGAGUAGCUAGUGAUUACAGUAGUAACCACUCUGCCACGGAGGCCCCACAGGAAAAUUUAAUCGUUUAAAAUAAAUCAUCUGCCAUUUCUUAAAUUUGAAAGAAUAGUUGUAUACAAUACCUCUUCUAUUCUGUCCUACUAACAUUGAUUGAUAAAUACUGCACUUAUAUAUGAAAUAGUGCUACAUACUCAUGGUAUAGCCAUAAAAAGAUUGCAUCUUC
rnacentral:lncRNA from 1 species